UACGUACGAGGCGAGCGUUAUCCGGAAUUACUGGGCGUAAAGCGCGCGCAGGUGGCUUUUUAAGUUGGGCGUGAAAUCUCCCGGCCUAACUGGGAGGGGUCGCCCAAGACUGGGGAGCUUGAGGCUGGCAGAGGUAGGUGGAAUUCCACGUGUAGCGGUGAAAUGCGUAGAGAUGUGGAGGAACACCAGUGGCGAAGGCGACUCUCUGGGCUGUAACUGACGCUGAGGCGCGAAAGCGUGGGGAGCAAACAGG
rnacentral:rRNA from 1 species